CAAAUAAUGAAUUUGGCAAGAUGUCGGAAUAGCUGAGAGCACAAAUAUCAUAGAAUCCAGAAUUUAUAUUUUGUGUAUUUUAUUGAGUACAGCGGCUAUGCCUCAUCUAGUCAAUUGCAUUC
rnacentral:pre_miRNA from 15 species